rnacentral:rRNA from 1 species
UACGAAGGGGGCUAGCGUUGCUCGGAAUUACUGGGCGUAAAGGGCGCGUAGGCGGACAGUUUAGUCAGAGGUGAAAGCCCGGGGCUCAACCUCGGAAUUGCCUUCGAUACUGGACAUCUUGAGUACGGGAGAGGUGAGUGGAACUCCGAGUGUAGAGGUGAAAUUCGUAGAUAUUCGGAAGAACACCAGUGGCGAAGGCGACUCACUGGCCCGUUACUGACGCUGAGGCGCGAAAGCGUGGGGAGCAAACAGG